CACAAUGCGAAACCUCAGCUUAUCAUAGCGGCAGAAUUGUAAGGUCUCACAAUCACAAUAGUCGCCGCCUACUUCUCUCUAUAUUCAGAACAUAAAUAAUUUUGUAGCUGUUACAGUUAACAAGUAUUCAAGAUGGUGAAGUUCACAGCUGAAGAGCUUAGAAACAUUAUGGACUUCAAGCAUAACAUUCGUAAUAUGUCUGUUAUUGCACAUGUGGACCAUGGAAAAUCUACCCUUACCGACUCUCUGGUGGCGGCUGCUNAUUU